CCUACGGGUGGCAGCAGUGGGGAAUAUUGCACAAUGGGGGGAACCCUGAUGCAGCAAUGCCGCGUGAAGGAUGAAGGUUUUCGGAUUGUAAACUUCUUUUGUACGGGACGAAGAAAGUGACGGUACCGUAAGAAUAAGCCACGGCUAACUACGUGCCAGCAGCCGCGGUAAUACGUAGGUGGCAAGCGUUAUCCGGAUUUACUGGGUGUAAAGGGCGAGUAGGCGGGAUUGCAAGUCAGAUGUGAAAACUAUGGGCUCAACCGAUAGAGUGCAUUUGAAACUGCAGUUCUUGAGUGAUGGAGAGGCAGGCGGAAUUCCCGGUGUAGCGGUGGAAUGCGUAGAUAUCGGGAGGAACACCAGUGGCGAAGGCGGCAUGCCGGCUUCCGACUGACGCUGAAGCACGAAAGCGUGGGGAUCGAACAGGAUUAGAUACCCCGGUAGUC
rnacentral:rRNA from 1 species